GAGUUUGAUCUUGGCUCAGAGCGAACGCUGGCGGCAGGCCUAAUACAUGCAAGUCGAACGGCUCUUCGGAGCAGUGGCGGACGGGUGAGUAACGCGUGGGAACGUGCCCUUUGGUUCGGAACAACACAGGGAAACUUGUGCUAAUACCGAAUGUGCCCUUCGGGGGAAAGAUUUAUCGCCAUUGGAGCGGCCCGCGUUGGAUUAGCUAGUUGGUGGGGUAAAGGCCCACCAAGGCGACGAUCCAUAGCUGGUCUGAGAGGAUGAUCAGCCACACUGGGACUGAGACACGGCCCAGACUCCUACGGGAGGCAGCAGUAGGGAAUCUUGCGCAAUGGG
rnacentral:rRNA from 1 species